GGGUUGUGAGGUUAAGCGACUAAGCGUACACGGUGGAUGCCCUGGCAGUCAGAGGCGAUGAAGGACGUGCUAAUCUGCGAAAAGCGUCGGUAAGGUGAUAUGAACCGUUAUAACCGGCGAUGUCCGAAUGGGGAAACCCAGUGCAAUUCGUUGCACUAUCGUUAACUGAAUACAUAGGUUAACGAGGCGAACCGGGGGAACUGAAACAUCUAAGUACCCCGAGGAAAAGAAAUCAACCGAGAUUCCCCCAGUAGCGGCGAGCGAACGGGGAGCAGCCCAGAGUCUGAAUCAGCUUGUGUGUUAGUGGAACGGUCUGGAAAGUCCGACGGUACAGGGUGAUAGUCCCGUACACCAAAAUGCACAGGCUGUGAACUCGAAGAGUAGGGCGGGACACGUGGUAUCCUGUCUGAAUAUGGGGGGACCAUCCUCUAAGGCUAAAUACUCCUGACUGACCGAUAGUGAACCAGUACCGUGAGGGAAAGGCGAAAAGAACCCCGGCGAGGGGAGUGAAAAAGAACCUGAAACCGUGUACGUACAAGCAGUGGGAGCACCUUCGGGUGUGACUGCGUACCUUUUGUAUAAUGGGUCAGCGACUUAUAUUCUGUAGCAAGGUUAACCGUAUAGGGGAGCCGCAGGGAAACCGAGUCUUAACUGGGCGUUAAGUUGCAGGGUAUAGACCCGAAACCCGGUGAUCUAGCCAUGGGCAGGUUGAAGGUUGGGUAACACUAACUGGAGGACCGAACCGACUAAUGUUGAAAAAUUAGCGGAUGACUUGUGGCUGGGGGUGAAAGGCCAAUCAAACCGGGAGAUAGCUGGUUCUCCCCGAAAGCUAUUUAGGUAGCGCCUCGUGAAUUCAUCUUCGGGGGUAGAGCACUGUUUCGGCUAGGGGGUCAUCCCGACUUACCAACCCGAUGCAAACUACGAAUACCGAAGAAUGUUAUCACGGGAGACACACGGCGGGUGCUAACGUCCGUCGUGAAGAGGGAAACAACCCAGACCGCCAGCUAAGGUCCCAAAGUCAUGGUUAAGUGGGAAACGAUGUGGGAAGGCACAGACAGCCAGGAUGUUGGCUUAGAAGCAGCCAUCAUUUAAAGAAAGCGUAAUAGCUCACUGGUCGAGUCGGCCUGCGCGGAAGAUGUAACGGGGCUAAACCAUGCACCGAAGCUGCGGCAGCGACACUAUGUGUUGUUGGGUAGGGGAGCGUUCUGUAAGCCUGCGAAGGUGUGCUGUGAGGCAUGCUGGAGGUAUCAGAAGUGCGAAUGCUGACAUAAGUAACGAUAAAGCGGGUGAAAAGCCCGCUCGCCGGAAGACCAAGGGUUCCUGUCCAACGUUAAUCGGGGCAGGGUGAGUCGACCCCUAAGGCGAGGCCGAAAGGCGUAGUCGAUGGGAAACAGGUUAAUAUUCCUGUACUUGGUGUUACUGCGAAGGGGGGACGGAGAAGGCUAUGUUAGCCGGGCGACGGUUGUCCCGGUUUAAGCAUGUAGGCUGGUUAUCCAGGCAAAUCCGGAUAAUCAAGGCUGAGGUGUGAUGACGAGGCACUACGGUGCUGAAGUAACAAAUGCCCUGCUUCCAGGAAAAGCCUCUAAGCAUCAGGUAACAUCAAAUCGUACCCCAAACCGACACAGGUGGUCAGGUAGAGAAUACCAAGGCGCUUGAGAGAACUCGGGUGAAGGAACUAGGCAAAAUGGUGCCGUAACUUCGGGAGAAGGCACGCUGGUGUGUAGGUGAAGUCCCUGCGGAUGGAGCUGAGACCAGUCGAAGAUACCAGCUGGCUGCAACUGUUUAUUAAAAACACAGCACUGUGCAAACACGAAAGUGGACGUAUACGGUGUGACGCCUGCCCGGUGCCGGAAGGUUAAUUGAUGGGGUUAUCCGUAAGGAGAAGCUCUUGAUCGAAGCCCCGGUAAACGGCGGCCGUAACUAUAACGGUCCUAAGGUAGCGAAAUUCCUUGUCGGGUAAGUUCCGACCUGCACGAAUGGCGUAAUGAUGGCCAGGCUGUCUCCACCCGAGACUCAGUGAAAUUGAACUCGCUGUGAAGAUGCAGUGUACCCGCGGCAAGACGGAAAGACCCCGUGAACCUUUACUAUAGCUUGACACUGAACAUUGAGCCUUGAUGUGUAGGAUAGGUGGGAGGCUUUGAAGCGUGGACGCCAGUCUGCGUGGAGCCAACCUUGAAAUACCACCCUUUAAUGUUUGAUGUUCUAACGUUGGCCCCUGACCGGGGUUGCGGACAGUGUCUGGUGGGUAGUUUGACUGGGGCGGUCUCCUCCCAAAGCGUAACGGAGGAGCACGAAGGUUAGCUAAUCCUGGUCGGACAUCAGGAGGUUAGUGCAAUGGCAUAAGCUAGCUUGACUGCGAGCGUGACGGCGCGAGCAGGUGCGAAAGCAGGUCAUAGUGAUCCGGUGGUUCUGAAUGGAAGGGCCAUCGCUCAACGGAUAAAAGGUACUCCGGGGAUAACAGGCUGAUACCGCCCAAGAGUUCAUAUCGACGGCGGUGUUUGGCACCUCGAUGUCGGCUCAUCACAUCCUGGGGCUGAAGUAGGUCCCAAGGGUAUGGCUGUUCGCCAUUUAAAGUGGUACGCGAGCUGGGUUUAGAACGUCGUGAGACAGUUCGGUCCCUAUCUGCCGUGGGCGCUGGAGAAUUGAGGGGGGCUGCUCCUAGUACGAGAGGACCGGAGUGGACGCAUCACUGGUGUUCGGGUUGUCAUGCCAAUGGCACUGCCCGGUAGCUAAAUGCGGAAGAGAUAAGUGCUGAAAGCAUCUAAGCACGAAACUUGCCCCGAGAUGAGUUCUCCCUGAGACUUUAAGUCUCCUGAAGGAACGUU
rnacentral:rRNA from 1 species